rnacentral:rRNA from 1 species
CCCUUAGAUGUCCUGGGCUGCACGCGCGCUACACUGGAAGUUACGGAUUGAGAUACUACCUUGUCCGAAAUGGUCCGGGUAAUCACCUAAAAGCUUGUCAUAAUUGGAAUGGAUUAUUGUAACUAGUAAUCCUGAACGAGGAAUUCCUAGUAAGUCCCAGUCAACAGCUGGUACUGAUUACGUCCCUGCCCUUUGUACACACCGCCCGUCGCUACUACUGAUUGGACGUUUAAGCAAGAUUUUUAAACACUGACAGUGUGUAGUUCUCGCUAUACUACAGUGAGAAGAAGAAGAUCGAGCUUACUUGUCUAGAGGAAGUAAAAGUCGUAACA